rnacentral:rRNA from 1 species
AUUUGAAAUCUGGCUGGUUUACUAGUCCGAGUUGUAAUUUAAAGAAGCGUUUUCGGUGGCAGCCUGGGUAUAAAUCCUUUGGAAUAGGGUAUCAUAGAGGGUGAGAAUCCCGUCUUUGACCUAGUGCAUGCUACUAUGUGAUACGUUUUCAAAGAGUCGAGUUGUUUGGGAAUGCAGCUCAAAAUGGGUGGUAAAUUUCAUCUAAAGCUAAAUAUUGGCGAGAGACCGAUAGCGAACAAGUACCGUGAGGGAAAGAUGAAAAGAACUUUGAAAAGAGAGUUAAACAGUGCGUGAAAUUGUUGAAAGGGAAACGUUUGACACCAGUCAUGUGGGUGGAAAAUCAGUCUUUUGCAUUGGGGAGUUGUAAAGGUUCGGACCGCAAGGCCGGCUUUUGCUUCAUCUUUGGUGUAAGGGAUGCACUUUUUCAUCUGCAGGUCAACAUCAGUUUCUUUUGCUGGACAAAACUCCGAGAGAAGGUAGCAGCUUAGGCUGUGUUAUAGCCCUGGAGCGAUACAGUGAAGGGGACUGAGGUUUUCGCAGCGUGUGCUCUCGGGCAAGGCUGGAUGGGUGCUAUGGGAUCGUUCGGGGUACAAUGCCUGGCAUUUUGCUUCGUGUCUUUUCUAUACUCGCUCAACUCAGCUCUUCCACGCUUAGGAUGUUGACUUAAUGGUUUUAAACGACCCGUCUUGAAACACGGACCAAGGAGUCUAACAUAUAUGCAAGUGUUUGGGUGGCAAACCCAUGCGCGUAAUGAAAGUGAACGUAGGUGCGAUCCGCAAGGUGCAGCAUCGACCGAUCUUGAUAUUUUUGGAUAGAUUUGAGUAAGAGCAUAUAUGCUGGGACCCGAAA